rnacentral:pre_miRNA from 1 species
GGCCUCCUGUAUCCGUACUGAAAUUUCGUCAAACACCGGACCACAAGAUCCGAUUAGACUCCCAAGAUAAGUGAAGCG